rnacentral:rRNA from 1 species
UACGAAGGGGGCUAGCGUUGCUCGGAAUUACUGGGCGUAAAGCGCACGUAGGCGGUCUUUUAAGUCGGGGGUGAAAUCCUGGAGCUCAACUCCAGAACUGCCUUCGAUACUGGAAGACUUGAGUCCGGGAGAGGUGAGUGGAACUGCGAGUGUAGAGGUGAAAUUCGUAGAUAUUCGCAAGAACACCAGUGGCGAAGGCGGCGCACUGGCCCGGUACUGACGCUGAGGUGCGAAAGCGUGGGGAGCAAACAGG